GGGGAUGUAGCUCAGCUGGGAGAGCAUCACGUUCGCAACGUGGGGGUCGUGGGUUCGAAUCCCAUCAUCUCCA
rfam:Eggerthella sp. YY7918 DNA, complete genome.